rnacentral:rRNA from 1 species
GAUGAACGCUGGCGGCGUGCCUAAUACAUGCAAGUCGAGCGAACAGACGAGGAGCUUGCUCCUCUGACGUUAGCGGCGGACGGGUGAGUAACACGUGGAUAACCUACCUAUAAGACUGGGAUAACUUCGGGAAACCGGAGCUAAUACCGGAUAAUAUAUUGAACCGCAUGGUUCAAUAGUGAAAGACGGUUUUGCUGUCACUUAUAGAUGGAUCCGCGCCGCAUUAGCUAGUUGGUAAGGUAACGGCUUACCAAGGCAACGAUGCGUAGCCGACCUGAGAGGGUGAUCGGCCACACUGGAACUGAGACACGGUCCAGACUCCUACGGGAGGCAGCAGUAGGGAAUCUUCCGCAAUGGGCGAAAGCCUGACGGAGCAACGCCGCGUGAGUGAUGAAGGUCUUCGGAUCGUAAAACUCUGCUAUUAGGGAAGAACAAAUGUGUAAGUAACUAUGCACGUCUGGACGGUACCUAAUCAGAAAGCCACGGCUAACUACGG